rnacentral:rRNA from 1 species
UAAUACUGCAACGAUCUGCCCCGCGCGGCCGAUAACCGCGGGAAACUGCGGCUAAUAGCGCGGGUUGAGACGCAGCCCUAUCAGCUCGUUGGCGGUGUAACGGACCCCCAAGGCGGCGACGGGUGACGGGGGGUCGGGGCCCGACUCCGGAGAGGGAGCCUGAGAGAUGGCUCCCACGUCCAAGGACGGCAGCAGGCGCGGAAAUUGCCCACUCCCGCGCGGGGAGGCAGUUACGAGACGUGGCGGAAGGGCGCCCCGCAAAGCCGGGCGCGAAGGCGAUUGGAGGGCAAGCUCGGUGCCUGCAGCCGCGGUAAUACCGACUCCAAGAGUGUCUAUGGUGGAUGCUGCAGUUAAAACGUCCGUAGUCGGCUCGGCAACGAAGACGCGCGGAUCGAGCGCGCGCGCGUUGCCGGACGCGGCGGAGCGGGCAGGGGGCGCGGUAUGCGCGGGCGAGAGAUGAAACGCCAGGACCCCGCGCGGACCGACGGCGGCGAAGGCGGCGCCCCGGGACGCGUCUGCGGAUCAAGGACGAAGGCCGGAGGAUCGAAAGUGAUUAGAGACCGCUGUAGUUCCGGCAGUAAACGAUGCCGACAGCGCGGCGGNGAUGCCGCCGCGCGGGGGAAACCUUAGUGUGCGGGCUCUGGGGAUAGUAUGCUCGCAAGCGUGAAAAUUAAACGAAAUUGACGGAGCUACACCACAAGGAGUGGAUUGUGCGGCUUAAUUUGACUCAACGCGGGGCAGCUUACCAGGGCCGCGCGCGCCCGAGACCGCGCGCGCGAGGCGCGCAGGAGUGGUGCAUGGUCGUUGCAAGCCGAUGGCGCGAGCUUAGGCUUAAGUGCCGGAAUGGGCGAGAUCCGCGCGACGGGUGCGCGCCGCACAGGCGGGAGCGGGCGAUAACAGAUCAGUGAUGCCCUCAGAUGCCCUGGGCCGCACGCGCAAUACACUCCCCGCGCGCGGCGCAGACGGGUCGCGGGGAGCGGGACCGGCGCCUGCAAGGGCGCCGCGAACGAGGAAUUCCUAGUAACGGCGGCUCACCAGGCCGCGGUGAAUGUGUCCCUGUAGCUUGUACACACCGCCCGUC